rnacentral:lncRNA from 1 species
CAAGACUUGGGACUCGUUUGACAAAGUUUCUGAAAAGUCAAAAGUUACUUCUAAAAUUAAGAAGUUAUUUUUGAACAUGUUUAGAUAACUUUAUAAAAAGACUUUCACACAAUUCAAUAUGCUAAACAUGUCAUUAGUGCCUUGGGACAAAAUUUCGUGUGCUCAAGAACCAAUUUUUAUUAGCCCUUGACCUCCAUUAAAUUAAAAUUCAUUUUUUCUCUCAUCUUAUAAAUCACGUGUUUUUUCAAUAAAAUAAUGUUUCAAAACCUAAGAAGUUUUUCUUUCUUUUUAAUCACACAUUCUUCAACAAAUUACUAUUCAUUUCAUUAUAAUUUGAAAAAAUGGAGCCCAAACGAGGGCUUAAUGUAUCGAUUUACUAUUG